rnacentral:lncRNA from 1 species
UAGGCCAAUAUUCAAUACUAUGGUGGCAGGUUCUGUUCGAUUGAGUCACAUUUGAAAUGACAGGAGAUUGAGUUAGGUCGAGUUAUGUUCAAAAUAGCAUGAAACUGAUUUGGUCGACUUACAAUUAAUCGAGACCCACGAACUCUGUAUAUGUACGUUUUAAUUGAAUUGGUUAUAUUUUUUUAAUGACUCGAGUUUUUAAGAUUAAUGGUUAGUACUAAUGAUCCGAUACCUAUAAGUAAUUUUCACAUUAAAAGUAA